UAGAGCGCUUGCCUUGCAUGCAUGAGGCUCUGGGUUCGAUUCCUCACUACCGCAUAAACAUAAAAGGCCGGAAGUGGGACUCUUGCUCAAGUGGUAGAGUGCUAGCCUGGAGCAAAAGCAGCUCAGGGACAGUGCCCAGACCCUGG